GGUGCUGCAACAGUUAAGUGCUCGGCUGCUAACCGAAAGGUCGGCGGUUCUAAUCCACCCAGCACCU
rnacentral:tRNA from 1 species